GAGUUUGAUUCUGGCUCAGGACGAACGCUGGCGGCGUGCUUAACACAUGCAAGUCGAACGAAAUUAAAAAAUUAUCAUUGAGCUCUCCGAUGAGAUGGGAGCCAAGCGUCGUGACCGCGGAGCGGGCACCACGCGUUCAACAAGUGCAACACCAAGUCGAAGGGUUGAAUGGUAAUUUUUUAAUUUAGUGGCAAACGGGUGAGUAACACGUAGACAACCUGCCGACAGGAUGGGGACAACAUUCCGAAAGGAAUGCUAAUACCGAAUGAAGUCGAGGGAAGGCAUCUUCCUUCGAUGAAAGAUGGCCUCUAUUUAUAAGCUAUCACCUGUCGAUGGGUCUGCGUCUGAUUAGCUAGUUGGUGAGGUAACGGCUCACCAGGGCGACGAUCAGUAGCCGGUCUGAGAGGAUGAACGGCCACAUUGGGACUGAGACACGGCCCAGACUCCUACGGGAGGCAGCAGUGGGGAAUCUUCCGCAAUGGGCGCAAGCCUGACGGAGCAACGCCGCGUGAGUGAAGAAGGUCUUCGGAUCGUAAAGCUCUGUUGACGGGGACGAACGUGCGGAGUGCGAAUAGUG
rnacentral:rRNA from 1 species